rnacentral:lncRNA from 1 species
GAACUUCUUCAUGCUCUGCGUAAUGUUAUUUAUAAGAUGGAGCCUGAUCCAGAAGUCGCCGCGUCAUGUAUAGAAGAGGUAAUUAUGAUGUAGUAACAUAUGUAAAUAUAUCGGAUCUUAUAUUAUUGACAUACUACAACAAGCUUCUUUCCACAGACCAAAUUAUUUAGAGAGGGCAGCCACAGCUUUGGACAGCGACCAGCUAUCGUGAGCAAGACAACUAUGAGUCCAG